rnacentral:rRNA from 1 species
AACGGGUUGUCGCUGGCCUUUCACAAGGCAUGUGCACGCCUGGCUCAUCCACUCUCAACCUCUGUGCACUCUAUGUAAGAAACGGUGUAAGUCAGCCUUGAUUGGCAGGCAACAAGCUGUUUCUUAUGUUUCACUACACACGCUUCAGUUAUAGAAUGUCUUACUGUGUACAACACAAUUUAUAUACAACUUUCAGCAACGGAUCUCUUGGCUCUCGCAUCGAUGAAGAACGCAGCGAAAUGCGAUAAGUAAUGUGAAUUGCAGAAUUCAGUGAAUCAUCGAAUCUUUGAACGCACCUUGCACUCCUUGGUAUUCCGAGGAGUAUGCCUGUUUGAGUCUCAUGGAAUUCUCAACCCCUAAAUUUUGUAACGAGGUUUAGUGGGCUUGGACUUGGAGGUUGUGUCGGCUGUCAGUCGACUCCUCUGAAAUGCAUUAGUGUGAAUCUUACGGAUCGCCUUCAGUGUGAUAAUUAUCUGCGCUGCGGUGUUGAAGUAUUUAUAAGUUCACGCUUAUAAUCGUCUCUGACCGAGACAAUUAUUUGACAAUCUGAGCUCAAAUCAGGUAGGACUACCCGCUGAACUUAAGCAUAUCAAUAAGCGGAGGAAAAGAAACUAACAAGGAUUCCCCUAGUAACUGCGAGUGAAGCGGGAAAAGCUCAAAUUUAAAAUCUGGCGGCUUUGGUCGUCCGAGUUGUAUUCUAGAGAAGUGUUUUCCGCGUUGGACCGUGUAUAAGUCUCUUGGAACAGAGCGUCAUAGAGGGUGAGAAUC